rnacentral:rRNA from 1 species
GGAAUAUUGGGCAAUGGGCGCAAGCCUGACCCAGCGACGCCGCGUGAGGGAUGAAGGUCUUCGGAUUGUAAACCUCUUUCAGUAGGGAAGAAGCGAAAGUGACGGUACCUAGAGAAGAAGCACCGGCUAACUAUGUGCCAGCAGCCGCGGUAAUACAUAGGGUGCAAGCGUUGUCCGGAAUUAUUGGGCGUAAAGAGCUCGUAGGUCGUUUGUCGCGUCGAUUGUGAAAAUCUGAGGCUCAACCUCAGACCUGCAGUCGAUACGGGCAAACUAGAGUGUGGUAGGGGAGACUGGAAUUCCUGGUGUAGCGGUGGAAUGCGCAGAUAUCAGGAGGAACACCAAUGGCGAAGGCAGGUCUCUGGGCCAUAACUGACACUGAGGAGCGAAAGUGCGGGGAGCGAACAGGAUUAGAUACCCUGGUAGUCCGCACCGUAAACGGUGGGCACUAGUUGUGGGAACCUUCCACGGUUUCCGCGACGCAGCAAACGCAUUAAGUGCCCCGCCUGGGGAGUACGAUCGCAAGAUUAAAACUCAAAGGAAUUGACGG